GCGACACUGAGAUUUCCCCCAAACGCUUCACAACAACUCUCAAAAUAUUGUUUCAUGAAUUGCUUGAAGGGAAUUCCUGGCAGUGUCGU
rnacentral:miRNA from 2 species